AGCAGCCGCCGCGGUAAUACAGAGGGUGCGAGCGUUAAUCGGAUUUACUGGGCGUAAAGCGUGCGUAGGCGGCUUCUUAAGUCGGAUGUGAAAUCCAUGAGCUUAACUUAGGAAUUGCAUUCGAUACUGGGAAGCUAGAGUAUGGGAGAGGAUGGUAGAAUUCCAGGUGUAGCGGUGAAAUGCGUAGAGAUCUGGAGGAAUACCGAUGGCGAAGGCAGCCAUCUGGCCUAAUACUGACGCUGAGGUACGAAAGCAUGGGGAGCAAACAGGAUUAGAUACCCCCGUAGUCCCUGUCUCUUAUAU
rnacentral:rRNA from 1 species